UGGGCAAUCUGCCCUUCUCUUCGGAAUAAGCGUGGGAAACCGCGUCUAAUGGCCGAAUACGACCUCCUUUCGCAUGAUCGGAGGUGGAAAGCUCCGGCGGAGAAGGAUGAGCUCGCGGCCUAUCAGCUAGUUGGUGUGGGUAAUGGCCCACCAAGGCGACGACGGGUAGCCGGCCUGAGAGGGUGACCGGCCACACUGGGACUGAGACACGGCCCAGACUCCGUACGGGAGGCAGCAGG
rnacentral:rRNA from 1 species